UACGGGGGGGGCAAGCGUUGUUCGGAAUUACUGGGCGUAAAGGGCUCGUAGGCGGCCAACUAAGUCAGACGUGAGAUCCCUCGGCUUAACCGGGGAACUGCGUCUGAUACUGGAUGGCUUGAGAUUGGGAGAGGGAUGCGGAAUUCCAGGUGUAGCGGUGAAAUGCGUAGAUAUCGGGGAGGAACACCAGUGGCGAAGGCGGCUUCCUGGCCUGUUCUUGACGCUGAGGCGGCGAAAGCUAGGGGAGCCAAACGGGG
rnacentral:rRNA from 1 species